rnacentral:rRNA from 1 species
GAUGAACGCUGGCGGCGUGCCUAAUACAUGCAAGUCGAGCGAACAGACGAGGAGCUUGCUCCUCUGACGUUAGCGGCGGACGGGUGAGUAACACGUGGAUAACCUACCUAUAAGACUGGGAUAACUUCGGGAAACCGGAGCUAAUACCGGAUAAUAUAUUGAACCGCAUGGUUCAAUAGUGAAAGACGGUUUUGCUGUCACUUAUAGAUGGAUCCGCGCCGCAUUAGCCAGUUGGUAAGGUAACGGCUUACCAAGGCAACGAUGCGUAGCCGACCUGAGAGGGUGAUCGGCCACACUGGAACUGAGACACGGUCCAGACUCCUACGGGAGGCAGCAGUAGGGAAUCUUCCGCAAUGGGCGAAAGCCUGACGGAGCAACGCCGCGUGAGUGAUGAAGGUCUUCGGAUCGUAAAACUCUGUUAUUAGGGAAGAACAAAUGUGUAAGUAACUAUGCACGUCUUGACGGUACCUAAUCAGAAAGCCACGGCUAACUACGUG